GCCAAAGCAAGAAAAAAGGAAGAAAAGGAAAAACAAAACCCUAGGUGGAAAAAUUCAAGGGAAAAGUGUGAAAAUUCAAGGAAACAAGUGAAAAAAAUGUAAGAUUUUUCAAUUAAGCUUGAGAUCUCUCUUUCUUAAGAAUUUUUUCUUAUUUUUCAUGGUUGAAUCACAUGAUUUCAUGAUGGGUCUCUUGCUGGCUGAACACUUAGUGAGAGAUUUUGAUGGUUGUUUUGGUUAGAUUUUAAGAUAUUCUAGUGUUUUUAGUUAGUUAGUGAUGUGUAGCAUGAAAAUCAAACAAGAAAAAUUCACUUCCUCCCAUCACCCAUCAUUGGCCGAAUCUUCCAUGUAGAGUGUGGAUGGUGGAUUUGAUUUUAUCUCAAGUGAAUUGGUUAGGAAAUGAUGAAUUACGAUGAGAAUAUGAAUUAGGAAAAAUUAUAGUGUUGAUGCACCCACCAUGGCCGAAAUUCCCAAGAGAAAAUGUGAAGAUAAUUUUGCUAAAUUUUAUGCUAUUUGACUUGUGUUUGAUGGUUUGGAGAAUUGGAAGAAAAAUGGAGUUAAUUGGAGUUAAAUUGGACAUAUUGGCCAAUUAACUGAGUGAUAGAUCGAAUUAGGCCAAUACCAUUUUAUUUGGGUACAUAAUUGAAUUUGUGUAGAACACUGUAUUUAGAUAGUUACUUGAGUAUUUGACAUCCCAUUUCAUGCAUUAGUAUAAAGCCUGAAUUGGUUUUACAAUGGUUUAGCACAAAUGUAGUAAAUGGCUUAGUGUGUAUUAUGUCUAGGUGGUGAGCUUUCUGACAAAAGUAAAGAGAUAGUACCCGAGGAUUUAGAAUUGGAGUACUCAGAAUUCGACUCCCGAAAUAGUGAGUAACUUUCUUAUCGUCUUAAUUAUCUAAAGUAAUUUUUAAUCGUUUUUGUGAUUUUAUGGAAAAUGAGUUUAAAUGGCAAAUCUUUAUAUUUUAUAAGCAAAAUGUGAUUAAAUGAAAUGAUUUUAUAAAAUUAUCUUGAAAUUGAAUGAUGGUUUUGAAAAUGGAGUAAUUGGAGACUAAUUGCUAUGUUAUAAAUCAUGGUUUGAAUUGAAUGGCUUAUGAUAAUAUUGGCAUUAAUGGGGGAUUGGUAAAUGUGCUGAAAAUGUAUGAACUGUUGAUUUGCCUUGAGAGGAUGUAAAAUAAAAUAAUUGCCAUGUCAUGCUGUUGAAUUUGAUUGAAUUGGUGGGUUAUAAAUUGGUCGCUAUAGUGGACGAAUUCCGUGGACCAGCCUAUUAGAGGGGCACGGUAACCUUAUUAUAUUCUUACCUCAGUAUGAGAGGCGCGGAUGGAUAACUCUUGAGGUUAACACUUUAGAGUUCACUUCACGCUAAACCACCACAUGAGGCUGAACUC
rnacentral:lncRNA from 1 species